AUGCCGUGGUGUGGGCAUGCUGCAAUGUAUUCCUGAAGACGUUCCUAGGCUUCCUGCACUGUUUUGUCCUGGAGUUGUUGAAAACUGGUAAUUCUGUUCCGAAGGGC